rnacentral:lncRNA from 1 species
GCUGAAAGACGUGUAUAGAUUCCAAUAAUGAAAUAACAAAUGGUUUAGUCUCAAAGAAAACUUAUAAGAUUUUCACAGCUAUAUUUGUUGAAUAGGUGUAAUUAGGGUUUUCAGUGCAAUUUGGGUACUGUCACGUUAUAAAAAUAAGAAGAUGUUGUAUGAUUGCCAAUGAGAAAAUUAUCUUCCAAAGUUCAAAUGUGUGGAAAGCCAACAGGGUCAAAAUUCUUAAUAUUUAACAACAAGUAUAAG